UGAUGGAGUCUUCCACCUGCUUGCUAAGUCCUUGAAAUCACCAGGCAAUUCAUUCACAUGGCUCAAAAAAUCAACAAUGUUAAGAAGUAUUAAUUGAGAAUACUCAUCUCUACCUCUGUCCCAGAAGUCAUCACUUUUAAGUUGUUUAAUGUAUCCUUCCAGUGUUUGGGUUUUGUUUUUGAUGCUUUGGAAACACUAUUUCUUUUCUGUAAGUAAUGAGUUUCAGUAUUUCAUUUAUUUUGGUGCUAUUUUUGUUUGUUUGUUUGUUUAUUUUCUUUUUUUCUUUUUUUUGAGACAGAAUCUUCCUCUGUUGCCCAGGCUGGAGUGCAGUGACGUGAUCUCAGCUCACUGCAACCUCUGCCUCCUGGGUUCAAGUGAUUCUCCUGCCUCAGCCUCCCGAGUAGCAGGGAUUACAGGCAUGCACCACCACACCCAGCUAAUUUUUGUAUUUUAAGUAGAGACAGAGUUUCACCAUUUUGGCCAGGCUGAUCUCAAAUUCCUAGCCUCAAGUGAUCCGCCUGCCUCAGCCUCCCAAAGUGCUGGGAUUACAGGCAUGAGCCACCACAUCCUGCCAAUUUUGGUGCUAUUUUUAAAUUAAGAUAUCGUUGGGAAAGGGAAUUCAGUAUUGUCUAUUCCUUGCUAAGAUAUAUUUUUAAAAUCUCAAGAGCAUUCACAUAAUGAAAUACAGAUGUUUUGUGUUUUAAACUAUUCAAAAAAUGGGCUCUCACAGAAGGACUUUUUUUUUUGAUGUGAGAAAUCGCAUGCUUUGUUAGUAUAGGAUUAGUGAUCUUGGUGGUUUUAAAUUUUUAAAAAUUAACCUUUAUUAUGAAAACUUUCAAAAUAAACAGAAAUAGAUAGGAAAUGGAUGGCUCGGUCAAAAGAAAAGAACAAAGAAAAAAUUGUUUAAGAAAAAAAUGAAUUAAAAAAACAGAAGUAGAGCAAUAUAAGUAACCUCUGUAUAUUGAUCUCCCAGAUUCUACCAAAAAAAAAAAAAUUAGCCCGGCUAAUUUUUUGUAUUUUUAGUAGAGACAGGGUUUCACCGUGUUAGCCAGGAUGAUCUUGAUCUGCUGAACUCGUGAUCCGCCCACCUCGGCCUCCCAAAGUGCUGGGAUUACAGGCAUGAGCCACCACGCCCGGCCAAUUACCAAGAUUUUUCUAUGUUUGCUUCAUUUGGCUCUUUUUUAAGUUUUCUUCUUUCUUUGCUCUUCUUUUCCUUCUUCCUUCCCUCCCUGCUUUUCUUCUUUCUCUUUUCUCACUACUAAUGUACAGUCAUGUGUCACUUAAUGACAGGGAUACAUUCUGAGCAAUGCAUCAUGGGCUGGGCACAGUGGCCCAUGCCUGUAAUCCCAGCAGUUUGGGAGGCUGAGGCAGGUGGAUCACAAGGUCAGGAGUUCAAGACCAGCCUGGCCAACAUAGUGAAACCCUGUCUCUACUAAAAAUACAACAACAAAAAAUUAGCUGGGCAUGGCGGCAUGUGCCUGUAGUCCCAACUACUUGGGAGGCUGAGGCAGGAGAAUUGCUUGAACCUGGGAGGUGGAGGUUGCAGUAAGUCGAGAUCAUGGCACUGCACUCCAGUUUGGGCAAGAGAGUGAGACUUUGUCUCAGAAAAAAAAAAAAGCAUUGUUAGGCAAUUUUGUCAUUGUAUGAUCUUGGAGUGCACUUACACAGACCUAAGGGUAUAGCCUACACACAUGCCUAUGCUCUCUGGUAUAGCCUGUCGCUCCUAGGCUACAAGCCUGCACAGAAUGUUACUAUACUGAAUACUGUAGGCAGCUGCAACACAAUGAUAAGUAUAUAUGCAUCUAAACAUGGAAAAGGUAUGGCGAAAAUAGGUAUAAAAGAUAAAAAAUGGUACACCUGUAUAGGGCUCUUACCACAAAUGGAGCUUGCAGGACUGGAAGUUGCUCUGGGUGAGUCUGUGAGUGAGUGGUGGUGAAUGUGAAGGCCUAGGACAUUACCAUACACCAUUAUUGACUUUAUAGACACUGUACACGUAGGCUACACUAAAUUUAUAGAAAGAUAUGGUUCUUUCUUCAAUAAUAAAUUAACUUUUGCUUCCUUAACUUUUUUUACCUUAUAAACUUUUUAGUUUUUAAAAACUUUGAUACUUUUGUAAUAAUAUGUAGCUUGAAACACAAGCACAUUGUAUAGGUGAACAACAAUAUUUUCUCUUUUUUUAAUCCUUAUUCUAUAAACUUUUUUCUAUUAAAAACUUUUUUUGUACUUUUUAAAUUUUUUUGUUAUAAACCAAGACACAAACAUACACAUUAGCCAAGGCUUACACAGGGUCAGAAUCGUCAGCAUCACUGUCUUCCACCUCCACAUCUUGUCCUACUAGAAGGUCUGCAAGGGAAAUAACAGGCAUGGAGCUGCCAUCCCCUGUGAUAACAAUGCCUUCUUCUGGAAUCCCUCCUGAAGGACCGGCCUGAGGCUGUUUGACAGUUAACUUAGAAUGAGUACACCAAAAUAGUGAUAGAAAGUAUAGUAUAGUAAAUACAUGAAUCAGUAAUACAGUCAUUUAUUAAGUGUUGUGUACUGUACCUAAUUGUAUGUGUUAGGCUUUCAUAUGACUGAGGGCACAGUAGUUUUGUUUACACCAGCAUCACCACAAACAUGUGAGUAAUGCCUUGUACUCUGACAUUAUGACAGCUACAAUGUUACUAGGUGAUAGAAAUUUUUCAGCUCCAUUAUCAUCUCAAGGGACCACCCACCGUAGCAUAUGUGGUUCAUUGCUGACAGAAGUGUUGUUACCUGGCUUGUGACUACUUUAAAGGAAAUCCUAGCCCUCAUGUCAUCUCAGUCUUACACGUUUAUUAUGUACUUCUGAAAAACAUGAACAUCUUCUUACAUAACUCUUGUAUCAUUAUUACCUAAUAAAAAUUUAAUAGCAAUUUGUUGGCAUCAUUUAAUAUCUAGUCUAUAUUCGUAUUUCCUUGGUAGUAUCAAAUCAGCUUUCUUCCCCGUUAGCUUGUUAGAAUUAGGACUCCAACAAAGCCUCCACAUUCUCUUGGCUUUUCUGUCUCCUGUCUCUUACUUUAGAGCAAUUCCCCAUGCCUCAUGCUCUUCUUACUCUCUUUUUUGUCAUAUUAUCAGCAACAGUUGUUGAAGAGACCAGGCCAUUUGUCCUACAGAAUUUCUAACUUUGUGGAUUUAUCUGUGUGCUUCCUUGUGGCAUCAUUUCACUAGUUCCUCUCUUCCUAUCAUUCCUGGAAGCUGGAUGUUACAUAUAACAACUCACUGUUAAACAUUUCCCAUUUUUGGCAUGGACACCCAUAGGUGAUGUUGUAUACUUUGUGUCACAUCACAUCAAAAGACGUGAAAUAGCUGAGCAUGGUGACACAUGUCUGUAAUCCUAGUGACUUGGAUGCUGAGGUGGGAGGAUCACUCGAAUCCCGGAGUUCAAGGCUGCAGCAAGUUAUGAUCACGCCACUGUACUCCAGCCUGGGCGACAGAGUGAGACUCCAUCUCUUAAAAAAAAAAAGAAAAAAAAAAAGACAUGAAAUAUCAGUUGCCCACUGAGGGUGAUGUGAAGAUGGACCCCUAGGUAGAUUGAUGCUGAUAGGAUCUCUGCAGUCUGUGGUGAGGGUUUCCCUCUCAGCUAGAAAGGGAUCUGUGUGGUGUUCCUGGCAACAUGGAAACAUCCAAUUUUCCCUCAGUCAUUUACCCAGUGGCUUUAACACCCAUUGAUAGUCUUCAUCUGAGUCAGUCAUUCUUUUUAAUUACCAAUUCUCAAAAUAAGGAUUUAUUGUAAUAGUUUUCUGAACUAGUGACAGAUGAGUAUUAUCUGGCUUUCUCUUUGUAAAGCGUCAUUAUAAACUAAUGGAAUUCCAUUGAUUCAUUGUGUUUCAGUCCAUUACAGUCAUUUUGGAAGGAUGCCAAAUCUGUCAUAACUUGGCCAAUUGCACUGAAAAGUCAGUCUUUUAGGAGCUUGUUGAGUGAGACUCAAAAUACCUGUGUUUAUUAUUCCCAGUUGAGUUUGAACCACUUGCUGCAUCCCUGCAGGACAGAAAAGGGGUGGUGAUUUCUCCAGUUGUGAGCCAGGAGCAUCUGCAACCUGGGGAGAGGUCUGAGAAUAGGGUCUGUUGCUGGACUCAAUCAUUCAAAGAGGGUUGGAAAAGCUCCUUAGGCAAAGCAAAUGGCUGUCCGGCCACUUUCCUUUCAUCGUUUUCCACAAGGCUCUGGGGGAGAAAAUCUCUGCCUAUUCCCCUUUCGCUGCUGCCACUUGUUCCUUCUCACUAGGUUUUCAUUCCUCCCUGUCCCAGGGCUAACCUGGAUCCUCUCUCACGACAUUUCCACAUCUCCCAUUCUGUUCUUCCUAAAGCAAGAUGCAGCACAUAGGUGUUAUUUUUGGUUAUUCUUUCCUACUGUUCAAUUUUAGACAUGGCUGUUUGAUUUCACAUUUUGAUACAGCUUAGGCUGAAUGAGAGCCCAUUGCAAUAGAGGUCUCCUUGCUGUAGUGAGAUUUGGCCCCAGCCUCUAUGGCGAGAGUUCUGUCAUCUAGCGGCACAUCGGUGUGGUGUCAUCUUCUCUCCCUAAAGUCAGGCCUACUGGUUUACUUGCCUAAUCCCUAGGAUAAUGAUGGAAUUGUACCGUCUUUCUUUAGCUUUGAUUUCUUAGUUUUCAGUGAACUGUGUUGCUGAUCUGCACCAUUAAUGAAAAUUAUUUCCUGGUUGCCAGGAAGUUUGACUGGAGCAAUUUUCUUGCCACUAGCUUCAGAAGUCAAGACAGAGCCAAAUUAGCAAUGGUGGAUUCUUUAUAGAAGAGGGGGAAAGGUCUUUUCAGUUCUAUAUAGUUACCUGAAGGGCAAACAGGUUUCCAGUAUCAUUCAGUUCCUUUACUGCUACCUUCUCUAUGUAACCAAAUAAAACAGUAGCUCUCCCUGUGGUUUUCAAGGCAGCAUUUCAAAAUGUCACCCAGCUAUAACAUGAGAAUUAUACUUAGUCAUUCCUGAUGCCAAAAAUACAGUUUCAUUUGCUUUCGAUAAAGUUAAAAAUAGUUUCUCUGACAGUACUGUCACAUGCCGUGUUCUUUACAAGUGACCAUUUUUUCCUUGCCCACACGUGCCCUCUGGCACGCCAUCUUGUUCAUUCUGUAACGAGCCUCUGGACAUUUGCCAUUUGGUGCACAUGUUCUCUGUCACAUUUGCUGUCACUCACUGAAUAGAAUAAGGUAAGACUGAAGCUAUGUUUACCUGCAGUUUCAACCUGGAUUCUCUGACUGUAUUUGAUUGUGUUUUAUAUUUUCACUAAGUUUGAGGCCAUGGUGUUUGGACGUAAUAUCCAAGUUCUUUCUUUACCUUAAUUCCAGGUGUGUCAGAGGUUGAAAUAUAAGUCUGACUCAUAGAGUGUGCUUCAUAAAUACAGUGAUCCAUUGACUUUUUUAAAAUUCAGUUUACAAUGAUGAAUUCUUCAGUUGAAAGUCUCUUCUUGACUGGUAUUUCUAUGCUCAUUUCAAUCAUAAUUAGUGUUGGAUGAAGAUUAGAUGAAGAUUUUGAUACAUUACUAAAUUAUAUUGUUCUUAAUUUAAAAGACCUAAUUAUAUUUAUACCAUUGUGUCAUGUUGAUAGUGGUAUGUUCUGGUUCUUUGCUGAAAAUUUGUAAACUCACAUGUAACGUAUUAUAAACCAGAAUAGCAGAGCGUUUAUUGGACUUAUUCGGUCACCUGUAGUGGAUAACAUAAUUUUCUUCCUCUUUCUUUCUUCAGAGGAAUCAAAGGGUUCUAGAGAUCCCUUACUUCUGGGUCCAGAUCCAUGGAAUUCUUUACAAAAAAUAGUCAUAAAAUUCUUGUAAAACUGUAGAAGAGUCUGAGGUGGUGACAGGGAUGGCACUGAAGCCAAGUCCUCAAAAUGCACCUAAGCUCUGUCUCUGCUGGUUGUGGCUCUGCUGUGCUGUGAGGUCCUAUGUGCUGCCCGUGGUGCUUUCCCACUGUCUAGGGUCUCUAGAUGAGAGAGGAAAAUGUUAUUUGUAGCAUCUAUGCAGAUAAGGAAGCUGUGGAUGGAGAUGGUGCAGUCAGUUGUUCACAGGCCGGCCUCAGCCUCGGAGUGCUCUGCGGAGGCAGGCGGAACCACAUGAUGAGCCUGGCAUGGAGGGCUGUGCUGGGGCCUGUGACCACCCAAACACCCUCUGUGCAUGUUUUUUCACUCCGUGUUGAAGACGUGAGCUGAGAGCACAGCAGUCACACCCUCCUGACUGGCUGGUCAUGUGGGACUGCUCCUUGGGGCCCCUCAGAUGUGGGUUGGAGCUGCGGAAAACACCUUGUAGCUUUUUGAAUCUCUUCCACCCUCUCUGGACCUCUCUCCUUCUGGCUCUUCUUCAGGAGGGAAGUAGCCUGCAUUUGUUGAGAGUCACUGAGCGUGUGGAGGGGCAUGUAGUCUCGCUCUGGAUGGCUGAGGCAGCUGAGUAAGGACUAAGGCACUAGUGCUUGCUUGAGCUUGUCUGCCCCAUUUGCUUGAAUCCCCUUGGGCCUUUGCUGCCCUCUUUCUUCCCCUUUGAGUGCCCUCCCUCUCUUCCAGGAGCCUCAUCUUUCCAGGUGUGCUCCAGAUGCUGCCUCUUCUUUGUAGUUCUCUCUGUUCCUCCCAUUCCCAGCUUCUCCCCUCUGCCAGGUGAAACUGACCACAGCCUCAUCUUUGAGCCAAUGCCAUGUUUACACUGCUCCUCUGCCCCUGAUCAUUUGGAUUGGUUGUCAUUAUUGUUACAGUGUGUUCAUCUUUCCACACUGAGGAGUUGUCAUGCAGGCACAUGGCAGGCGAUUAAUGAAAGUUUACUGCAUCUACACAGCUUCUUGACACAGUGUUGCAUUUCUUUUUAGAGGUAAGGUCAGCUUUGGGGAAUAGAAGGGAACUGGAAUAGGAGUAGAAGAAGGGAACUGGAAUAGGAGUAGAAACCACUGGGUUUAGUCCUGUCCCUGUCCCUGUCUCUGUCUAACAGCAAUAAUAGUGGCUAUAAUUUACUGUGGGCCUGCUUUUCUCCAGGAACCAUCCCAGGUUCAUUGCAUGCGUUUCUGUAAUUGUUAAUGGAGCGUGGAAAGUAUUUCCACUUUCCUGGUGAGGAAACUGAGGCUUCAGAAACCUAAGUAACUUGCUCAAAGCAUGGAACCAAUGAGAAAUAGUAUUUUCAAACCCAGGGCUCUCGUGUAUUCCAGAUUGCCUUAGACUGUCACAAGCCUCUGAGUCUGAGUUUCCUCAGGUAAAACGAACAAUAAUUCUGAUAAUAAUUCUUGCUCCACCUGUCUCACAGAAUCAUGUAAGGAAUAAGGAGAUUCUUGAUUCUUGAUGUGAAAGUACUUUGCAAAUUGUGAAGCACCAAGACAAUAUAAGAUAAUAUUAUCUCAAACCACUAUAGAUCUUGCUUCACCAAUUAUUCUAACUUUAUCAUAAUCACCAUCUCUUCCUUUGUAUUAGUUUCAAACCCUUUGCCUGCAGACCUGCUAAGAUAUCUCUUAUCUUACAACACACAUAAUUAUCCUUCUGUGACUGUUGGAGAGACUGUGGUACUAUCUCAUUUUUUUCCUGCCGAACUUCCCCCAGUCCUACUCUCUGCUGCUGCGUCCUCUUUCUAAUAGCUACAGUCUGGUUUAUAGGCCUGUCAGUCUACCCAGCUAGUGUUUCCAGGUUAUCAGCCACCUGCCAGCAUGAAAUUCAGUAAUUUGUUUUACUGCUCAACAUCCCUGAUGUCUGCAGUUUUCUGUUUGGGUGUUUUUUGUUUUUUUUGCUUGGAUUUGAGAUCCUAAUGUCUGCAGUUUUUGACAGUGCUGACCAUGUCCAGUUUCUUAAAAUUCUUUCUUCAACAUAUACCCUCAGACUUCCUGUUAUCUCCUUUUUUAUCACCACACUCAUUUCUCUUUUUACUUCUCUAAAUUGGUCGUUCUCAAUCUUUGUUCACUGUUAGGCUGCCGUAGGAGUCAAUGCAGGGAUGUAGUGUUCUCACUGUGACCAGUAGCUCCUCACUCUUGAAAGCAUUUUGGGAAAUGUAUGUAAGAAUGAAUGGUACAAUUACUGUGCUUCCUUUAGUACUUGCUUUAACUUGUAACAGAUAUUUGUGAAAAACUUCAGUACCUCAGCCUAAACAAAGAUGUGCCCUCCUGAUGAUUUUUUUUCAACUUCCAUGCUGUUAUCAUGCAGUUAUAAAGGAUGGUCUCAGGCCUUCUACUUGGUUGUUGUCAUAGCCUUGGGAAGGUUACUUACUGUCUUGUAAACCUGUUUUCUCCAUUGUAACAUAGGGGUGAUGGUAUUACCUUAAAGGAUCAUUUUUGCUGCUUAAUGAGAUAUGUAUAAAGGGCUUAGCCCACUGUCAUAGUGAGUACUCACCAAAUGUCAGUUACCAUCAUCAUCAUCAUCAUCAUUUGGUAGUGAUAGUUUUCUGUUUGUAGAUUAAAUUUAGGGAAAAAUGGACAACAUAUUUGCAAUAUAGGUCAAGCAUUUCUAAUCUGAAAUGCUUCAAAAUCCAAAACUUUUUGAGUGCCAACAUGACACCACAAGUGGAUCUCAUGUGACAGAUUGUGGUGAAAAUACAGUUAAAAUUUUGUUUCAUGCACAAAAUUAUUUAAUAUAUUUUGUAAAAUUACCUUCAAGCUAUGUAUAUAAGGUGUAUAUGAAACAAAUAAAUUUUGUGUUUAGACAUAGGUCACAUCCCCAGAAUAUCUCAUUAUGUAUAUGCAAAUUUUCCAAAAUACAAAAAAAAUCCAAAAUCCAAAACAUAUCCCAAGCAUUUUGGAUAAGAGAUACACAAACUAUAUUGAACUUUCUCUUGCUAUAAUAAUCAUGAAUCUUUGCAUUUUAAGCUGACCUACAUGUCACUGCCAGAAUAAUCUUUCUAAAGCACAGGAUUUUGUCAUUUCUCUCCUCUUCUUUCUUACUACUAAUAGCGGCUAUUCCCCCAUUGUAUGCAUUCUGGGGAGAUCCAGUAAAUGUUGGCAAAAUAAAGGGCAUAUCUCUAUUCUUCUCCUCUCUGGUGCCUAGCAAAAUUAAGAAAAAGAGCAUCAAUAUAUCUAUAUCUAUAUAUAACAACAAGACAGAUCAGGAGGGCAAGGCAGGAGGAGGGGAAUCAGUAAAUACUAUCUAAAAUUGCUAAACCAGUAAAUAAAUGUUUAUUUUAAAACCAAUAGAGGCCCGUAUCUACCAAAAGUAUCAAAA